rnacentral:tRNA from 1 species
ACCGGUUUGGCUCAGUGGAUAGAGCGUCGGCCUGCAGACCGAAAAGUCCCAGGUUCGAUUCC